rnacentral:pre_miRNA from 1 species
CAAAUACUCCCUCCGUCCGGAAAUACUUGUCAUCAAAAUGGAUAAAAGGAAAUGUAUCUAGACGUAUUUUAGUUUUAGAUACAUAUCUUUUUAUCCAUUUUUAUGACAAGUAUUUUCGGACGGAGGGAGUAUUUA